AUUAGCCGGGCAUGGUUGUAAGAUGAUGCCAGUGCACUCCAGUCUGGUGUAGAUCGAGACUUCAUCUCAAAAAAAAAAAGCAAAAGUAGAACUCUAUUAUAACUAAGAGCUGGUUGUCUGCAAUAAGACAAAUAAGUUGCUAGCUAACUUAAUCAAAGGCUGAAUGGAGCUAAUAUGCAUACACAAAGUAAAAAAUAAGAGGGGAGAAUACCACAGAUAAGGAGAAAAUAAAAGAAUCAAAAUGGAUUACUUUACUUGACCCCAAAAAUAUAUUUGAACACUUGUAUGAUCCAGAAAAUCUUCUUAAAAAUUACAGUUUAUCAAAACUGAAUGUAGAAAACAUAAAAUAAUUCAG